UACAGAGGGGGCAAGCGUUGUUCGGAAUUACUGGGCGUAAAGGGCGCGUAGGCGGCCAACUAAGUCGGACGUGAAAUCCCAAGGCUCAACCUUGGAACUGCGUCCGAUACUGGAUGGCUUGAAUCCGGGAGAGGGAUGUGGAAUUCCAGGUGUAGCGGUGAAAUGCGUAGAUAUCUGGAGGAACACCGGUGGCGAAGGCGGCAUCCUGGACCGGUAUUGACGCUGAGGCGCGAAAGCCAGGGGAGCAAAC
rnacentral:rRNA from 1 species